AUUGAACGCUGGCGGCAGGCCUAACACAUGCAAGUCGAGCGAGCGGCGGACGGGUGAGUAAUGUCUGGGGAUCUGCCCGAUAGAGGGGGAUAACUACUGGAAACGGUGGCUAAUACCGCAUAAUAUCGGAUGAACCCAGAUGGGAUUAGCUAGUAGGUGGGGUAAAGGCUCACCAAGGAUACGAUCUCUAGCUGGUAUGAGAGGAGGAUCAGCGAGACUGGGACUGAGACACGGCCCCGACUCCGACGGGAGGCAGCAGUGGGGAAUAUUGCACAAGGGGCGCAAGCCUGAUGCAGCCAUGCCGCGUGUAUGAAGAAGGCCUUAGGGUUGUAAAGUACUUUCAGCGGGGAGGCGUUACCCGCAGAAGAAGCACCGGCUAACUCCGUGCCAGCAGCCGCGGUAAUUC
rnacentral:rRNA from 1 species